CUCCACCCGAGACUCAGUGAAAUUGAACUCGCUGUGAAGAUGCAGUGUACCCGCGGCAAGACGGAAAGACCCCGUGAACCUUUACUAUAGCUUGACACUGAACAUUGAGCCUUGAUGUGUAGGAUAGGUGGGAGGCUUUGAAGUGUGGACGCCAGUCUGCAUGGAGCCGACCUUGAAAUACCACCCUUUAAUGUUUGAUGUUCUAACGUGGACCCGUUACCCGGGUUGCGGACAGUGUCUGGUGGGUAGUUUGACUGGGGCGGUCUCCUCCUAAAGAGUAACGGAGGAGCACGAAGGUUGGCUAAUCCUGGUCGGACAUCAGGAGGUUAGUGCAAUGGCAUAAGCCAGCUUGACUGCGAGCGUGACGGCGCGAGCAGGUGCGAAAGCAGGUCAUAGUGAUCCGGUGGUUCUGAAUGGAAGGGCCAUCGCUCAACGGAUAAAAGGUACUCCGGGGAUAACAGGCUGAUACCGCCCAAGAGUUCAUAUCGACGGCGGUGUUUGGCACCUCGAUGUCGGCUCAUCACAUCCUGGGGCUGAAGUAGGUCCCAAGGGUAUGGCUGUUCGCCAUUUAAAGUGGUACGCGAGCUGGGUUUAGAACGUCGUGAGACAGUUCGGUCCCUAUCUGCCGUGGGCGCUGGAGAACUGAGGGGGGCUGCUCCUAGUACGAGAGGACCGGAGUGGACGCAUCACUGGUGUUCGGGUUGUCAUGCCAAUGGCACUGCCCGGUAGCUAAAUGCGGAAGAGAUAAGUGCUGAAAGCAUCUAAGCACGAAACUUGCCCCGA
rnacentral:rRNA from 1 species